GAUGAACGCUGGCGGCGUGCCUAAUACAUGCAAGUCGAGCGAACAGACGAGGAGCUUGCUCCUCUGACGUUAGCGGCGGACGGGUGAGUAACACGUGGAUAACCUACCUAUAAGACUGGGAUAACUUCGGGAAACCGGAGCUAAUACCGGAUAAUAUAUUGAACCGCAUGGUUCAAUAGUGAAAGACGGUUUUGCUGUCACUUAUAGAUGGAUCCGCGCCGCAUUAGCUAGUUGGUAAGGUAACGGCUUACCAAGGCGACGAUGCGUAGCCGACCUGAGAGGGUGUGCGCCAACCCGGAAACGGGAACCCGUCCAAGCCCCCAGGGGGGGGCGGCGGUGGGGAAUCUCCCGAAGGGGGCAAAGGCCGGACGGACCAACGCGGCGGGAGAAAGAAGGUUCUUGGUAUGGAAAACUUUUUUUAUGGGGAAAAAAAAAUUGUGUAGGAACUUAUCCCGGUUUGGCCGGUCCUAAAGAAAAAGCCCCGGCCAAUCGCCG
rnacentral:rRNA from 1 species